CAUACACACACACUCUCUCUUUCUCAUACACACACAUGAAUAACUUUAAUAAUAUCUUAUAGUAAUAGAGAAACUCUAUAAAAAACAGAAUAGUAGGAUAUGCAGGACAGUAGAACUGUAAUGAUAUUAAGAAGUUGGAAGUACAGUAAACCGCUUUUCAAGUAGUAUAAAUAUAUAUAAAAUAAGAAAUAUAGUGCAAAUAUGAAAAUAAAUUAUAAACGAGAAAUACAGGAAAAAUAGAAAAAUAUAACUUACUCAUGAUUCAGAUGGUGAAGAUUCUCGUCUCGCAAGGAAAGCCUUAAUUUUUAGAGAACCAUGAAGAGAGCCAGUUAUAAGGGUGGCUGGGUCAAACUGCCCCCCCUCGAGAUAACGAUAAGACCAAGGUCCCUCCCGGUUGUUUAGUCGUCUUGUCUACGUCAUUUUAUUUCCCUAGGUAAAUGAGAAUCCUGGUUUCUGAUUCUCUAUGUAAUUCAAAACGCUGGGUUUUUAUUUUCUGGGUUAUUAGAAAUGCCUGGGUUCUGAUUCUAUGUGUAAGUGAAAUAGGCCUUUUCUGGAAACAUAUGGGUUAUCUACUGUGUAAAUACAGUAUAAAUACUGGAGCUUAAGCUCAGGGUAUUGGGAUCACUUCUGAGAAUUCUCAUUGGUGUGGAUCUCGUGUGGUGGAACGGAACCAAUAAAUCUGGACCCUUGCUUCUUCUCACUCACGGCUGGUGUCUUUUUUUUUCUAUCUCCAACUGGGCUCAGAGGUAGAUGUGAGUAUUGGCUUCUAUGUUGAAUUUUAAGUGUUUUUGGGUAAUAGGCUAAAUUUGAGCCAG
ensembl:lncRNA